AGGUCUCGGCCUCAUGCCUCGUGCCGUAGAGGCCUUCACUGACUUCCACGUCUGAGGCAUUGACAGAUUCUGCCAAGCUUACUUGGACAUAUUCUGUAUCAUCAUGGUCCCCAAUGAGGAAGAACAACUUCCAGAUGGUGUCUUCCUUUGAACUGCAAGCAGAAAGUGACACCUGUGAUACUUGCUAUCAAGUCAACCUGGAGGUUUUACUGCUUUACUAUUUAAUUCCAGUGAGGUAAUGACACACUGAUUAAUGACUUGGAUUUUCUUCCUUAACUGUCCUGGAAUGACAGAUACUUCCCAGGGUGAAAGGCAUAGAUAGAGGCCCGUCUCAGUUACAGUUAAACUUGAACCUGUGGGAACACAUGUCAAAGCACAUUAGAAACAAGAAAGCUACAAGGUCCUUCUGCCAUUUAUUCCUGCUACAAAUGACUGCUUGGCAGACCAUCCUCACAGCAUAAACCACCCCUGAACAUCAAUGCUUGGCCCGGAUUUAUAGUUCUAAGUUGCAAUUAUAUCUUUUAAUUCACUUAGUUCUCAAAAUAACCACAGAGGUACCUAGAAUAAGUGACUCACUCAGCUAAUCUGUGGCUGUUAUCUCUUUUUCUGCCCCAUAGCCAAUGCUUAGCAUCAACAAAACACAUGCACCCUAUACUAAGGCAAGUAGUAACUUGCCUUAACUAAUUAGCUGCGGUAACAAACCAAUCCUAAAUCUUAGUGGCUUUACACAAUAAAAUUCAUCUUUCCCUCACACAAACAUUCCUCGUUGGGGGGAAAAGAUUAUCCACCGAGCACAAUCAUCUGCUGACUCAGCUCCUCCUUCCUCCCAUUCAGUUAAUUGAAGAGGAAAGGGUGAGAGAAUUUAGCAUGUAGGAGGUUUUUAAUGGCCGGACUCAAACAGAGUACAUCAUUCUUGGCUUAUUCACCAGUGCAUACUCUCCCAUAUGGCCACACCCAACUGCUAGGGAAGCUGGAAGAUGUGAUCUAGCUCCAGGACCAAGAAGAAAAAGAAGAGGAUUUGGAUGGCACUCCGUAAGGUGUGAUAGGCUGCUUCUCAACUCAUUUCAUCCUGUAAUCCUCAUGAGAAUAAUACCCUCUCUCCUCCGUGCACUUCCCUUCUCUAGAGAGUGUUCAUCCAUGCUGGUGGCUGAGCUCAGAUGUUGCCUCCUCUGUUGACAUGCUUAUUCCCAUCCUGAAUUUGUGUAAGGUGCCCCUCUUUCUUGUUUGCUUCCCAUUCUUAAUUAUCCUCUGUUACUGAAUUACAGAAGCUCUACUAACACUUCUUAUCUUUGAAUAGUGCAUAAUAAUGAUAGAACAUAUUUGUUGAGCUACUAAACAAUGGUCCCCACCUCUUCUGUUACAUUCCCUGGUGGUACCAACAUGCAAUCCUCCAACAGGUGCUAGACUGACUCCAUACGAAUCACCUGCAGAGUCUGCUAUACCUAGUCUAGUCCCUCAGUGCCAAGCCCAACGGAUCAGGUCUCCUUCCUUCCCCCUCACAGCAGAGUGUGCAGCCCAACCUCACUGACAUUAGGCUCAGUCAGUCAUAUGAUGGGCUUUGACCAAUGGAAUGUGGGCAGAGGGUAGGUCGGUUUUAAGGGGUUUUAAGGGGCAUCACAUGUUUUUGUUCACCUUAUGCUUCUACCAUCUGCCAUGAGAAGAGUGGCCCCAGGUGGUUGCUGUUCCUUCCUUGUAUGCUAGAAUGAGAGGCACGAGGAGCCAACCUGAACCCGGGCCUAGCCCUGCCCAGCUGAGUCACAUCCAGCUUGUGCAGGUGAAGAAAUUCAGCGAGAAAUGAAUGUAAGCCACUGAGCUUUUUAGCAGUGUCUCUUACACACCAUUACUGAAACCAAAGCUGACUAAUACACCUUCCCACCCUGAUUCUUUUAUAAUUGGUCAGGAUGGGACCUAGACAUCGGUUUUUUUUUUUUUUUAUGUUUAGCCACCUCAAAGGAAACUAUGGUACACAUUUGUCCCCUAUUCAGUAGGGAGGAAACCUAAUAUCUAAGCCCCUGGAACAGAGCAGCCAUUUCCCCAAUCACAUUCCAGGGCAUAUGACUUUAGAUAGAUUCCCAGCAGACCUCCAGUGGCAGCUCAUCAUGAGCCCUGCUGCAGGGAAAUUGGGAGGCAGGAGAAGCCUGGACGUGACUACUGACGUCCCCUUUUGACCUCAAAGUGGGUGGCGGUGCUGUAAGAGCCUCUUUAGGAUUCAAGUCGGUCUAUUUUUUUCUUUCAACCAGAAUUCAUUGUUUUAUCUCAUUAUUACUAUUUAAAAUGAUCCACCUUACCCAAUUUUAUAUGAUCAGUUUUUCUCUCUAACCAUUAGGUAAUAUAAUUUGAAGGUAAAAUAAUUAUAUUCUGUAUAUAGUCUAUAGGAAUGAGAGACAAGGUUAACUUUGAAUACUAUGGUUAAUGUUUCCUAUGUCUAAAAGGAUUUUUUUCCUACAUGUCUGGCAUGUAGGAUGUUACCAUUGGCUAUUUUUAAAAAGAUGUUAAAGUGCUUUAGGGAAUGUAUUGGCAAAAAAUAUUGCUACGUGGAAUAUCUGAGGUUUUACUGUGUAUGUUUCCUUCUAGGAAUUAUAUGGUUUCAUGGCACACAUUUAAGUCUUUUAUCUGUUUUGAGUUUGUUUUUGUGUAUGGUGUAAGUUGGUGGUCUAGUGUCAAUUUUUGCAUGUACCAGUCCAGUUCUUCUAACACCAUUUAUUGAAGAGAUGGUCUUUGUUCCCUUGUAUGCUCUUGCCAACCUUGUCAAAUAUCAACUGAUUGUACAGGCAUGGGCUUAUCCUGCGCUUUCUGUUCUGUUUCAUUGGUCUGUAUGUCUGUUCUUAUGCCAGAACCAGGCUGUCUUUAUUACAGUGGCCUUGUAAUAUAGUUUGAUGUCAGGAGUUGUGAUACCUCCAGCUUUGUUCUUCUUUUGCAAGAUUGCUGCGGCUUUUGGGGGCCUUUUUGGUUCCAUAUAAAUUUUUGGAAUAUAUGUUAACCAUGGACAUGGACAACAAUAUGGAGAUUGA